AGUUUUGCCAAGUGGCAGUAUUGUAGGCAAUGAGAUUUAUCCCAGUCUCGAUUAUUGCUAAUUGAAACAAGCAGACUUGCCUCUAGAUCUAAGAGAUCAGAACUGUGAGAUUCAUUAAAAAUUAAUUUUUUAC
rnacentral:snRNA from 1 species